GCCACAAAUGAGCAGCAGCUUCUAACACGUGAGAUCUCUUCACAGCAGAAACCAUUUAUCCAAAUCAUUCCAGGUGUGAGCAGUUCGUCCCUGCCCAGCAUGCAGCACAGCUCAUGUCUGGCUGACCAGGCAAGGCCCACGUGUGGACAAAAGGAACCACCUCCAUGGAAGGGUCAGAGGAACAAAGGAAGGAGUGAAUGGAGGUCAGCUGGCACCAGGGUAUGCUCGGAUCCAUCGUGCCUUAGGAACGGCUCCCAGCCCACUUCUGACAUUUAUCUCACAGAACAGCCACAUUAAAAAUAAACACAGCUUGCACCAGCAUCCCCAGCCGCUGCACGGGGCCCUGCCAGGAGAACACAGCAAGCUGCAGCCAGCAGAGUGAGCUUGGAAAGGAGAAAGGGCUUGGGGACUUCAUUUUGUCACCAAACAUACUGCGAUGUAAUAUUCAGAGCAUUUGGAUUUGAUAUUUCUGCCUCGUGUUGGUAUAUUCCCUACAAGAGACAGCAGAACGCAGGGGGCAAUCGCGACCAAGUUGGUUUGGAAUCAGCAGUUCUUGGUUUGUGCAUUUCAAACUGCACUCACACACGGGUGGGCACACUGCACAUGCCUGAUGUGCUUUUCUCAUCUCUAAACUCGUGACGAAUCCUUCCCCUGUCUUCAGCUUCUUCUGAUGGGAUUGAAUAAAGCCAUGUGAAACACUCCCCCGUCUGUGAGCAGACCCCCAGCACCCGGCUGCCAUGCAUGCUUAGGAGGGGGUCACCAAUACACCCCCAGUGCCAAAUGUUUCGGAACACAACGUAACACACUGAAAUCUCUGCUGAGCUGUUGUGGCUCAAGCACAGUGCUGAGGGAGUGCUGCCCUGCAUCCCCCAGGUGGGGACACCGCACCGACCGUCGUGCUGCCCCAGCUGUGGGUCACGGCUGCAGUGAAGUUGUUGGACAAAGGCACAUGGAAGUGGGUGAGUGUGGGCAUGAGAAAGUAGGAAAAGUAUCUUUUUUUCCCGUGCUGUUUCAGUACAUGCUGAGGAAAUCGAGUGAGAGGCAGAGAUUGCCAGCUCUUAACUGCUAAAGAUAUUUGCAAGAGUCAUUUCCGCAAAUGUCUCCCAUUCCAUAUAUAGAUCCAUAGAGUCUGUGCUUCUAAUGGACUGACAAAUGUACCAUAACCCCGGAUGACUGUUGCUUCAUUGCUUGGCUAUACAGAUAAGAGGAAUGCUUCCUUUUGAUUGAGAUCUUAAAUCAAUUGUUCCCUUACCCAACGUCUCGUGGUUAUUAUCCAAGGAGAAGAUAAAGUUCAGGUGGUAAAUUGUUAAUAUUGUAAGAAAAAUGUCUGUUGUGUCCUGCUUAAAGUUCCCUGUCUGGAUGAAAUAUACCCUCCUAUAAUAUUUAAGACUGCACGUGAUCCAUCAGUGUGCACGCUGGCCCUACUCUAAGUGCUGCUGCCAGCUGUGAAGCACAGCACUGCAAGGCCUGCACCAGGGCAGAGGGGCCCUUAAAACACUGCCUGGUAUCACCCACUGCCUCCUCAGGUUCUGGGAGUGGAACAAUCAACGACACCGCUUGGGAUGCUCCUCUACAACAUCUCCAUAUCCACCUUACCACAUUCCAGGUUCCCUCUCAGGCAGACAGCAUACACAUCCCACAUUUGUUUCCAAAAUGAGCAACAGCUGCAAUCCUUCCCCUGCCCCUCUCCCAGUAGCUGUGGCCAUCACAUUUCAUGCUAAUUUGUUACCGAACUCUCAGCCACAUCACCAAGAGAUGCAGCUCCAUGGUGUCCUAUUGGGAACUCCUGUUGCACCAAAUGAAUUCAACCCCUCCGGGUCACUCUCGUUGGUGAAUGGCUGUGGGCUGCCCAUGUGAUUACGUGUCCUUGGGCAGGGGUGCGUCUUUCACUGAAGAGUAAAACAAUCUGAGCAUUAAAAUCUGUGCUCUGAUGCAGGUAGGUGAAGUCGUGACCCAUUCAUGGUGCUGGGCAGCCUGGAGCUGCAGUGUCACACAGCAGUGGGUGCUCACACUACUCCUGAGCAGAGAGUUGGGCUGACCCAGGGCUGGGGGCUGCUCCCGUAUGGGACAUCCCUGAUAGUGCCCCGUCCCCAUCCCUACAUAAUGCCCCACUGCUUUCUUCCUUUCAGUACAACACUGGCAGAGCUUGCACUGCCAUCUGUGCCUUUCCUGCUUGGGGAACACACAGCUGACUGUUGCCAGCCCAGGACAUCUCACCAACAUUAAACAUGAUUUUUUUUUCCUUCAAAGACACUUUGGGGAUUUUAAAUGAUCUUUUUGGCAGUUAACAGUACCCACACAUUGUGCAGCUCCAUUGCAGUCACUGCAAAUAUUCACCUGCAGCAAGCAGCUCUGCCUCUGGCACAGCCUGAUUCUAUUCCUACUGACAGGAAUCAAUAGCAGCAGAUAUGAGGACACAGAUAAAUGUGCGUGCAGUUGAUGAGGGGUGAAUGGCCCUUCAGAGCACGUCGCUCUCACAGAUUUCCGCUCCUCUCUGCCUUUUUACAUGCCUUGGCUAACUGCUCUGUGCGUUAUCUCGCUCACCUUGAGUGCCUGAGCUCUCCCACCCCUCUCCAAUAUGCUUUCAGCAUUCUGCAAUGUCAGACGUUGCUUCCAGCUGUAUGAGAAAUUAUCUUUUAUUCUUUAAAGGGAAAGCAGUUCAGAGCAUUUCCAUCUGCAGACGCAGCGGCUCCUGCUGCAGCCCGGCCCCGAGAGGCGCUGCCUCUCCUAUGUGGUCGGACUCCAUCAGCGGCAGCGCUGUGCAGCAGUGAAUGGCCGCCUUCUCAUGGCUCCUCUCA